CUGCUUCCACUGAUAGACCUUGAACAGUUCAUGACUAUCUUCUGGUUUGCACUAGGAUAUAAACCAAAAUGCUCACUGUGCUUUCUGCCUAUCUUUGUGGUCAAGAUUGAAGUGGGGAGUACAUCU
ensembl:snoRNA Gm55862 small nucleolar RNA SNORA31